AGAAGCUGAAACACCAAUGAUCAAAGGAUUUAGAUGAGAAUCCGACAAACGCCACAACGGAUAGUUGAUAAGUUAGCCAAGAUUCUUGGUGCAAUUGAUGAAAGCAAAUCCUCACUCUCACUCAAAGCAAUACACGCCAAAGGCAUGAAAAGAAUUCUGAAAUAUUUGAUUAAAAGCUGCCCCUUACAAUUGUUUCUUAUCCUUAUAUAGUAAGGAGAAAAACAAAUAAAACCCUAAGACACUCUUCUUGGACCUGACUUAAACACAUAAGGCCCAAACCCAAUCACACACUAAAAUAACACAUAAGUAUUAAAAUAUAAGCCCAAAACAUGGCCCAACACUCUCAAACUUAAAAGAUAAAGUAUGGCUAGAAUACAAGCCCAAACAAAACUAAAAUAAAACAAGUGUUAAAUAAUAAAAAUAUAGCAAGCCCAUCAUAACAAAGCUGAAUCUUCACAAAAGCCUUACUUGAUCUUCACUCUAGGCUUCCCUUUGUGUAGUUUUAGCCCAUAGGUUUGGUUAGGCUCCCUAAGCCUAUGAUUGCAAGUGUUGCACCAAAUCUGUCCCAUAUGAGUUGAAGCACGCCCCAAAUAUAUAUGGAUCAUAUGAAUAUGAUUUUGAACUCCUUUUAGAUCCAUUUGAAUGACAUAAGUUUGCUCCACACCAUUGUUAGAAAUUUGCCCUAUUGGAUCAGUAUCAGGGCACUUUCGGCGGCAGGUUCGGCGGCCGAAAGUCCCUCCAGAGUCGAAACUCAGGCACCUUCGGCGGCCGAAAGUCGCUUCCAGAUCCGAAACUCAUGCACUUUCGGCGGCAGGUUCGGCGGCCGAAACUCACCUCUAGAGCCGAAAGUCCAACUUUCGGGGGCGAGUUUAGGCGGCCAAAACAUGCCACCACAGGCAGGUUCGGCGGCCAAACAUGGCUUCGGUUGCAGAACCUGAGUUCUUCCAGAAUGGGAGAACUCAAGCCUCACAUGCACAUUUGCCUCCCAAACCUUCCAAACUCACACACAACACUCCCAAGCAUGCAUAAACAUGCAAAAACACAGUCUCAAGCAUUUAGGGGCAUAAAACUAGCCUAAACCCCAGCAAACAUCACAUUAAACAUGCAUUUACCAUAAAGGGUAGAUAAACCCUAACACUUUAAACAUACUCUAAACAUGCAUCAUCUACCCUUAAAACCCCUCAAAACUUACUUAAAACAUAAGAGAGGGUGAGGAUCUACUCUUACCUCUUGAAGAUCGAGAGAAGAGGCGAUCCAAACUUGGAGAUGUAGAGAAAAAACCUCCUGAGGUCUCCAAACUUCUAAAACCUCGAUCUUAGCUUUAAAAUCUUCAAAACACGGUAAAAACCUAUAAAAACUCUGGGAGAUUUGAAGGAAAACAUAACAUCAACCAUGACUUGUCUCCUUUUGACCAUGUUCCAGAUUUGAGGACAAAUCUUUUCGAGGAAGGAGGGAAUGAUACGAACCAGCAAGCACAAUCACAUAAGAAUCAAGAAAGCAAGGAUCCAUUGGUGCUCCCUAGUGGACUAGUGAUAAGGAGCAAAGCUAAGAAGCUUGAAGCAGCUAUGAACUUAAACAUUCAAGAACAAGUAACGAAAGAAUUGACUGAGCUUGCCUUUGGCAAAUGUCUCGUGAAGCUUGAAGACACACCUAAGCUACUCACCUUGCUUAAGGUGUGUAAUGGAGAUAGCGCUGUCUAAUUUAUUCAGCUUUGUUAUGAUGGGCUUGCUAUAUUUUUAUUAUUUAACACUUAUUUUAUUUUAGCUUUGUUUGGGCUUGUAUUCUGGCCAUACUUUAUCUUUUCAGUUUUAGAGUGUUGGGCCAUGUUUUGGGCUGAUGUUUUAAUGGUUAUGUGUUAUUUUUGUGUGUGAUUGGGCUUGGGCCUUAUAUGUUUAAGUCAGGUCCAAGAAGAGUGUCUUAGGGUUUUAUUUGUUUUUCUCCUUAUUAUAUAAGGAUAAGAAACAAUUAUAAGAGGCAGCUUUUAAUCAAAAUUUUAGAAUUCUUCUCAUGCCUUUGGCAUGUAUUGCUUUGAGUGAGAGUGAGGAUUUGCUUUCAUCAAUUGCACCAGGAAUCUUGGCUUACUUAUCAACUAUUCGUUGUGGUGUUUGUCAGAUUCUCAUCUAAAUCCAUCGAUCAUUGGUGUUUCAGAUUCUCCUCCGUGCUUAGCUAACUUAUCAAGAAUUUCUUGUGGCGUUCUCGAAGCUGGAAUCACUUUAUUAUCUAUGUUUCUAAUCACAAUUGUUGGUUAGGGGUAUAGUAGAGCAACCUUCUGGAGGAACCCUAUGGCACAAGCCUCAAACCCACACGCACAAGUAGAUAUGGAAUCCAAAGAUUUGAUAAACCCACCUCCUAUGGCACCCCAAACUUAGAGAAGCUAAAAAACCAAUGAUCAAAGGAUUUAGAUGAGAAUCUGACAAACACCACAAUGAAUAGUUGAUAAAUUAGCUAAGAUUCCUGGUGCAAUUGAUGAAAGCAAAUCCUCACUCUCGCUCAAAGCAAUACACGCCAAAGGCAUGAAAAAAAUUCUGAAAUUUUGAUUAAAAGCUGCCUCUUACAAUUGUUUCUUAUCCUUAUAUAGUAAGGAGAAAAACAAAUAAAACCCUAAGACACUCUUCUUGGACCUGACUUAAACACAUAAGGCCCAAGCCCAAUGACACACUAAAAUAACAUAUAAGUAUUAAAACAUAAGCCCAAAACAUGGCCCAACACUCUAAAACUUAAAAGAUAAAGUAUGGCCAGAAUACAAGCCCAAACAAAGCUAAAAUAAAACAAGUGUUAAAUAAUAAAAAUAUAGCAAGCCCAUCAUAACAAAGCUGAAUCUUCACAAAAGUCUUACUUGAUCCUCACUUUAGGCUUCCCUUUGUGUAGUUUUAGCCCAUAGGUUUGAUUAGGCUCCCUAAGCCUAUGAUUGCAAGUGUUGCACCAAAUCUGUCCCAUAUGAGUUGAAGCACGCCCCAAAU
rnacentral:lncRNA from 1 species